ACUUCCGGCCGCCAUGUUUGUUGUUAUGUCUCGCAACAUGCUAGCAGAAUUAAAGACUUGUCUCCGUCUCUCCGGAGGUUUGAAGGAGGAUUUGUCAACGUGGACAUGUCUUUUAAACUCCGGGAUCCAAACCCUUACUGUGAAAACCAGCUGCUGUCAUUUCUUCUCCUGAUUCUCUUCACUGAGAUCGAAGCGUAACAAUCGUUAAAGGUCUUCCAGCUCGAGAUGUCGAGACGCAGAAGAUCCAGUAAAGCUUCCAGAUGAAUCUGCGCGUCCUGCAGAAGGAGCUGCACACUGUCGCACAAACAAGUUCCAGUUGUCUGUGUACAUUUGGAUAAAAAUAGUUUCAUUUAUUUACACAAAACAUUUACAAAAUGCAUCUUUUCAUGAACGUGUGACGGGAAAGAAAGACAGCAGACGGAAAACCAUCGUCAGAGCAGCGUCGAAAGAAAACCACCAAAAGAGAAGUGGCCGGUGGAACCCAGCAGGUAGCAGAGACUGGUGGUUUGAGCAGCACGUGAACGUGAUCACAGAGAGAAAACUCGUUUAACGUCACUGUG